UACGUAGGGUGCAAGCGUUAAUCGGAAUUACUGGGCGUAAAGCGUGCGCAGGCGGUUGUGCAAGACCGAUGUGAAAUCCCCGGGCUUAACCUGGGAACUGCAUUGGUGACUGCAUUGCUGGAGUAUGGCAGAGGGGGUGGAAUUCCACGUGUAGCAGUGAAAUGCGUAGAGAUGUGGAGGAACACCGAUGGCGAAGGCAGCCCCCUGGGCCAAUACUGACGCUCAUGCACGAAAGCGUGGGGAGCAAACAGG
rnacentral:rRNA from 1 species